UACGAAGGGGGCUAGCGUUGUUCGGAAUCACUGGGCGUAAAGCGCACGUAGGCGGAUUUUUAAGUCAGGGGUGAAAUCCCGAGGCUCAACCUCGGAACUGCCUUUGAUACUGGAGAUCUUGAGUCCGGAAGAGGUAAGUGGAACUGCGAGUGUAGAGGUGAAAUUCGUAGAUAUUCGCAAGAACACCAGUGGCGAAGGCGGCUUGCUGGCAUGUAUCUGACGCUAAGGCACGAAAGCGUGGGGAGCGAACAGG
rnacentral:rRNA from 1 species